rnacentral:rRNA from 1 species
UGGCGGACGGGUGAGUAAUGUCUGGGAAACUGCCCGAUGGAGGGGGAUAACUACUGGAAACGGUAGCUAAUACCGCAUAACGUCGCAAGACCAAAGAGGGGGACCUUCGGGCCUCCUGCCAUCGGAUGUGCCCAGAUGGGAUUAGCUAGUAGGUAAGGUAACGGCUUACCUAGGCGACGAUCCCUAGCUGGUCUGAGAGGAUGAUCAGCCACACUGGGACUGAGACACGGCCCAG